rnacentral:lncRNA from 1 species
UUAGAUGAGUUGGUACUAAAUAUAGAAAGUUGUUAUUCUUUUUGGCACCGACGAAAAAGGAAAGAGUGGCACAUAAAUUGGGACAGGGGGAGUACUAUUUUUAUCUGUAAAAAAGCAAAUCCCCAUUACCUCAACACCUGCACCGCGAUGGUAAUCCAUAGUCAAGGUUUCAGCAGUCCGCUUUCCCUCGUCAUAGCAGCUCCUAACACCUUGAUGAUUCAAGACGCUCAAACAUCAUUAAAACCAGCUGAAGAGAUAACUUUCGUUAUACAAGAGAUUUGUUAGGUUAUACAGACCUAUUGGAUUCACAUGACCCCAAUAUGUUUCCUUUUGAGGAUGCUCAAGCGGGUCACCAUAGACCUCACUUGUACUGGUAAGCAAGAACCUCGCACCAAUCCUCUUCGCAAGGCCCAACAUGUUAAGCGUGCCCAUCACAUUUGUCUUGUAAUCACAGUUAAGGAUCUCAAACGCAUCCAAAUUCAAUAAACUAAUGAAAGAACUCACAUUUCCAUAACAUUUUACUAAUUAUAAUAUUAGCACAAACACACACAAACCAAAGAAGUAUUAUACAUAAAGCUAAUUUUAAACAAUAAGCCAAGUAAUGAUCUAGAAUUUUUAUAACAGUUGGGGGGAAGCCCGUUACACUAAGCUCCCACUCAGGUACGGAGCUAGAAAGCGAGAUACAGGUUCGACCAAACCCAAUCGCUUUAGUCCAAACCCUAUACGUGUAUUAAAAUUUCAGUAAAUAUGUAAAAAAAUAAAUUCAGAACCCAGUUACUAACAAGUGAUGCCGCUAUCCUGCAAUUUAGAACUCAUAAAGUUCAAAUCCUAGCUCUGUUUCUGCUCCCACUAUGAGGAGGGUAUGGGGAAGGGGCGGACCACAUUGAGUCUAUUCUAUGCAGCCUUACCUUGCAUUUAUGCAAGAGGCUGUUUGCACAGCUUGAACCCGUGAUCUCCUGCUCACACAACCGGCAACUCGCGCGCCACCUUCCAAACUGAUAUAACAGUUCUGACAGGUAUUUUACAAAUUCAAUAAACAAAUCAAAGAACACUCAUUUCAAUAACAUUCAACUAAUUAUCAUGCAGACACACACAUACACAAAACCAAAAGAGGUGUUUCUACGAUGAAUCUGAAAACUAAGCCAAAAAAUUAUCUUUAAAAAAAGGAUAUAAUAGUUUUGACAGGAUUAUACUUGUAGUGAACAGGAGAAGCAGGGCAAGCCAAGUGAUAAAUCUGAUCCACUUCCAACAAAAUAGGCUCAACAACAUCAUGCCUAAUAAGCUCAAAUCUUGGAUUCCCAAAAUGAUGC